UGGGUUGAAAAGGACCACAAUGAUCAUUGAGUUUCAACCCCCCUGCUAUGUGCAGGGUCACCAACCAGCAGACCAGGCUGCCCAGAGCCACAUCCAGCCUGGCCUUGAAUGCCUCCAGGGAUGGGGCAUCCACAGCCUCCUUGGCAGCCUGUUCCAGUGCGUCACCACCCUCUGUGUGAAAAACUUCCUCCUAAUAUCUAACCUAAGCAUCCCCUGUCUCAGUUUAAGACCAUUCCCCCUUGUCCUAUCACUAUCCACCCUCGUAAACAGCCGUUCCCCAUCCUGUUUAUAUGCUUCCUUCCUGUAUUGGAAGGCCACAGUGAGGUCUGCCCAGAGCCUUCUCUUAUCCAGGCUGGUAGGUAGGGUGGUGUUCUGAUUACAAGGAUGAAACCCUGAAGAAGCUGAAGGAAGCUGAAGAAAUAUUUCCUUGUUUCUCAGGAAAUCCCUGUGGUCUGUUGUUAUGAACGUCUCUGUAUCCAACAAAGUACAGCAUUGGCUGGAACAGCGCAGGGUAAAACAAGCUGUGGCGAGCUGACUACCUAUUUGUUCAGACACCACACUAGGGAAAUAUAUUAUGCAGGAAAAAUAAAAGUAAUGGUUAUUUUUAAGGAAAUGCCAAGUUUUAGAGGGAAAACAGUAGCCUCAGCCUAAGAAAGAUUCUCAACUCUCUCCUCUGGAGAUAGUUAGACAAAAUAAAAAAUAAUCUAUCUUCCUGCCUAUGACUUCAUUCUGUAGUUACUGAAGUAAAGAGCAAUAUUCCCAUUAACUGAAGUUGUACAAUUAUGAGUCUUGACUGCCUUAGAGAUAAGCCAUCAAUCUUCUCUCUGCUAAACAAAGGAGCUUACAAUCCCCUUUCAAGAUUAUUAACAUUUAUGUACCAGGAUAGAUAGGCCAUUUCUGGAAGCAACAAAGAAGAGCACAAAGGGUUUGGGGCAAAAUGUAUCACUCAGAUGAUUUGACAAGAACCCCUCAUCAGUCAAAGGCAUGGGCCAAUGAUUUUACAUACAUACCUUGCCAGUAAGGCAUUUAGUUUUCUUUCAAUCUUAAUAAUUCAUAGCACAAAAAAAUUAGAUUCCUAAAUAAUACCGCUCCUUCAAAACGGAAACUAUUUAAAAAUAGGUUAAAAAUAUUAAAAUUUAUUAGAAAUAAAUUUCUUACAUAGAUCGUACGUGGAAAUAUAAUAUUGAAGUGGUCCUCUGCAGUCAAACCUGAGGCUACUUAUGUAUUGACUGCCUGUACCAGCACACAGCUUGUCACAAAAGCAAGACCUUAUGAUGAAAACAGUGGAUCAUUUCUGCUGCCUUUUCUCCAGUAAGACUGCCAUUUGCUUUCAAUAAAAGACUGCCUGAGUAAAGACAAUAGAAGAAGGUCCCAUAUUUGAAAAACAAGAGCAAACGCAAGUAAAUAGGAACCAGGAAUAAAGGAGAAAGACCCAAAAAACAAAACAAAUAGCAACAACAACAACAACAAAAACAGAACAAGAAGAGCAGGGGGAAAUAAACAGUUUAAUGAGACUGGGAGUGUGGAGAUUAUGUCAGUUUUCAUGCUAGUUUUAAAGUCAAAUUAAGAAGAAAACAAUAACUUUUAUGUGAAAUAUAUGUAUACGGGUAGAUGCAAUUUGGCAUAUCGCGCUUUCCUCAGUACACAUAGGGGUUAUCAGCCUUGUUUGGGUUUAGAAGGCCUACAGAGAUGCUCCUCAGUGUGAAGUGCUUGAAUAAAUCACAUUAUCUUAUUUACUAGGCUGCGUUUUCUCCUCUAUUUUGUCUUACAGGCUGAGUUUGUGUGCCUCACGCUUAGCUUCACCAUACCUCUUCUCUAAAACAGUAACUUCUAAAGACGGUUUCCAUUUAUUUCUAGAGUUGCAGGGAAUAUUCAUGGCAUGAGUGGGCAGAACUUUGAUUCUGCUGCAUGUCUCCUUUGGAAAUUGACGGAUCAUUCUGGAAAGCACGCUCUGCUCCCCACAUUGAAGCAACCCCAUUUUCCCCUCUCCGGCUGAGAUCAGAGCUGGAUGGGGAGAGAGAAACAGACCUUUGCAGAAGUGCAGUGUUUUGUCUGUCUUGAGCUCUGAGCCUGUGCAGUGUCAAUCAAAGAAGCAGGAUGUGUCCGUAAAUUCCCUCCUGGAACUGCAUUUGUUCUGUCUUGUUCUAUCCAAAUUCUUGCUUGGCACCCAUUAACUUGAUUCUGAGUGGCUCUCUGGUAAAUGAAACACUUUGCAUUUCCAGCUUGGGACAUUGGGAAAAAAUACACAGGUUUCUACUUAGGAAAACAUUAACCUUGCACACGAAGGAAGGACAUUCCAAGCAGUGCUUUCACAGUAUCCUCAGGCAGAGAAC
ensembl:lncRNA